rnacentral:misc_RNA from 1 species
AACACACAAACAAAUAGAAAAAGGCAAAACUAUAAUUAACA